rnacentral:rRNA from 1 species
AGACUUUGAUUAUGGCUCAGAACGAACGCUGGCGGCAGGCCUAACACAUGCAAGUCGAGCGCGCCCUUCGGGGUGAGCGGCGGACGGGUGAGUAACGCGUGGGAACGUGCCCUUUGCUGCGGAAUAGCCACUGGAAACGGUGAGUAAUACCGCAUGAGCCCUUCGGGGGAAAGAUUUAUCGGCAAGGGAUCGGCCCGCGUUGGAUUAGGUAGUUGGUGGGGUAAUGGCCUACCAAGCCGACGAUCCAUACCUGGUUUGAGAGGACGACCAGCCACACUGGGACUGAGACACGGCCCAGACUCCUACGGGAGGCAGCAGUGAGGAAUUUUGGACAAUGGGGGCAACCCUGAUCCAGCCAUCCCGCGUGUGCGAAGAAGGCCUUCGGGUUGUAAAGCACUUUCAGCUGUGAGGAAAGGCGAGUGGUUAAUACCCGCUUGCUGUGACGUUAACAGCAGAAGAAGGACCGGCUAACUCCGUGCCAGCAGCCGCGGUAAUACGGAGGGUCCGAGCGUUAAUCGGAAUUACUGGGCGUAAAGCGCGCGUAGGUGGUUCAGUCAGUC